GCGUGAGAAUCUGCCCUCAGGAGGGGGAUAACGGCUGGAAACGGCCGCUAAUACCCCAUAUGCCGAGAGGUGAAAUGAAUUUCGCCUGAGGAUGAGCUCGCGUCUGAUUAGCUAGUUGGUAGGGUAAAGGCCUACCAAGGCUCCGAUCAGUAGCUGGUCUGAGAGGAUGAUCAGCCACACUGGGACUGAGACACGGCCCAGACUCCUACGGGAGGCAGCAGUGGGGAAUUUUCCGCAAUGGGCGAAAGCCUGACGGAGCAACGCCGCGUGAGGGAUGAAGGCCUCUGGGCUGUAAACCUCUUUUAUCAAGGAAGAAGAUCUGACGGUACUUGAUGAAUAAACCACGGCUAAUUCCGUGCCAGCAGCCGCGGUAAUACGGGAGUGGCAAGCGUUAUCCGGAAUUAUUGGGCGUAAAGCGUCCGCAGGCGGUCUUACAAGUCUGUCGUUAAAGCGUGGAGNUUAACUCCAUUUCAGCGAUGGAAANCUGUAAGACUAGAGUGUGGUAGGG
rnacentral:rRNA from 1 species